UCUACGGGAGGCAGCAGUAGGGAAUCUUCCGCAAUGGACGAAAGUCUGAUGGAGCAACGCCGCGUGAGUGAAGAAGGUUUCGGCUCGUAAAGCUCUGUUGUUAAAGAAGAACGUGGGUAAGAGUAACUGUUUACCCAGUGACGGUAUUUAACCAGAAAGCCACGGCUAACUACGUGCCAGCAGCCGCGGUAAUA
rnacentral:rRNA from 1 species